GCCGGGCAUGGUGGCACAUGCCUGUAGUGCUAGCUACUCGGGAGGCUGAGGUGGGGGCAUCUCCUGGGCCCGGAGUUCUGGGCUGUAGUGUGCCAUGCGGAUUGGGUGUCCGCACCGAGUUCGGCAUCAAUAUGGUGACCUCCUGGGAGCAGGGGACCACCAGGCUGCUUAAGGAGGGGUGAACUGGCCCAGGUUGAAAACAGAGCAGGUCAAAACUCCCAUGCUGAUCAGUAGUGAGAUCGUGCCUGUGAACAGCCACUGCAGUCCAGCCUGGGCAACAUAACAAGACCCUGUCUCU
rnacentral:SRP_RNA from 1 species